ensembl:lincRNA
GGAUUUCAGUAUGAAGUUUUAAGUCCAUUUUUCUUGCAUUUGUAAAAUAAGAAAUGAAGUGCUUUUUAAAUUUAAACAAUCUAAGGGACACUUAGUAUGAAGUUUUCUUACUCCAAAAUAACCUUUACCUUUUUUCCUUUCCCUAAUUUCAGGAACAGACCUUGGCCCUUAGGAAGGAAGGGAUUGGGGUGGUUUUGGAUUCUGAGCUGCCCCAUCUGAUUGGCAUCGAUGAUGACCUUCUGAGCACUGGAAUCAUCUUAUAUCACCUGAAGGAAGGUCAGACAUAUGUUGGAAGAGAAGAUGCUUCAAUGGAACAAGAUAUUGUUCUUCAUGGCCUUGACUUGGAGAGUGAGCACUGCAUCUUCGAAAACGUUGGGGGAACAGUGACGCUGAUACCCCUAAGUGGGUCCCAGUGCUCUGUAAAUGGUGUCCAGAUUGUGGAGGCCACGCACCUAAAUCAAGGUGCUGUGAUACUCUUGGGAAGAACCAAUAUGUUUCGUUUUAAUCAUCCAAAGGAAGCUGCCAAGCUCAGGGAGAAGAGGAAGAGUGGCCUUCUGUCCUCCUUCAGCUUGUCCAUGACUGACCUCUCGAAGUCCUGUGAGAACCUGUCCGCAGUCAUGUUGUACAACCCUGGUCUUUUCCCUGUAAAAGGACCCAUCUGUCUAAGACUUGAAUUUGAGCGACAACAGCGUGAAGAACUUGAAAAAUUAGAAAGUAAAAGGAAGCUGAUAGAAGAGAUGGAGGAAAAGCAGAAGUCGGACAAAGCAGCCCUGGAGCGCAUGCAGCAGGAGGUGGAGACACAGCGCAAGGAGACGGAAAUCGUCAAGCGGGAGAUUCGCAAGCAGGAGGAGAGCCUCAAGCGCCGUAGCUUCCACAUCGAGAACAAGCUCAAGGACCUGCUGGCUGAGAAGGAAAAAUUUGAGGAGGAGAGGCUGCGCGAGCAGCAGGAGAUUGAGCUGCAGAAGAGGAAACAGGAGGAAGAGAGCUUUCUCCGUUGGCUCCAGGAACUCAGCAGCAGUGAGCAGGCCGAGAAAAUGGAGAUAUUCCAGGAGCUGGGCCGGCUGCAGCGGGAAAAAGAUGAGCAGUGCACCAGGCUGGCUAUGGAGAAGCAGAGGCUGGAGGAGCAGGAGAAGGAGCAGGUGCUGCUAGUGGCCCAGCUGAAGGAGCAGCUGCGAGAGAGGGAGGAGCUGGCCCCCCUUCAGCGAAGCAUGGUCCUGCGGGCCCAGGAGGAGAAACAUGAGCUCGAGGGCAUCAGGGCAGUGCUGCUGCAGGCCAGGGAGGCGCCAGCUACAAGGGACAUGGGUGGCCAGGAGCCAGAAGCGGGCCAGCUGCGUUUCCUAGAGUUCAAGAGACGGCAGCUAAUCCAGCUAGCCACUGCAGAGCAGGAGCUGGCCCAGCAGGAACACCUCCUGAGUAAAGAAGUCCAGGAAGAGCAGGAAGUCCUGGAGCGCUUACAGUGUGAAAAAGACAUGGACUCCAGGUUGCUGGCAAAAAACGGUGGUAGUGGCCCAGGUAUCUCUCAGGUGGCUCACGAUUUAGAGAAAAUAAAGGCAGUAGAAUGCAGGCUGCGGUAUAAGGAACGCCAGCUAGAGGACCUCCUGCAAAAUCAGCUGCCAGCUCUGUUGGAAGAAAAGCAGAGGGCGCGUGAAGUCCUUGACCAGGGCCCACUCAGCUUGGACAACACUUUGUAUCAAGUGGAGAAAGAAAUGGAAGAAAAAGAAGAGCGGCUUGCCCAGCACCAAGCCCAUGCCCGCCAGCUGCAGCAGCUCCAGGCCACCUUCGAAUUCACCACUAAUGUUGCGAGACAAGAAGAGAAAGUGCGGAAAAAGGAGAAGGAGAUUCUAGAGUCCCAGGAGAAGCAGCAGAGAGAGGCACUGGAGCGGGCAGUGGCCAGGGCUGCAGCGCAGGCACUCAGCUUUGCAGCAAGGCCCUGCCCUGGGCCUGGAGGUUGA